rnacentral:rRNA from 1 species
AUUGAACGCUGGCGGCAGGCCUAACACAUGCAAGUCGAGCGGAUGAAGGGAGCUUGCUCCUGGAUUCAGCGGCGGACGGGUGAGUAAUGCCUAGGAAUCUGCCUGGUAGUGGGGGAUAACGUCCGGAAACGGGCGCUAAUACCGCAUACGUCCUGAGGGAGAAAGUGGGGGAUCUUCGGACCUCACGCUAUCAGAUGAGCCUAGGUCGGAUUAGCUAGUUGGUGGGGUAAAGGCCUACCAAGGCGACGAUCCGUAACUGGUCUGAGAGGAUGAACAGUCACACUGGAACUGAGACACGGUCCAGACUCCUACGGGAGGCGGCAGUGGGGAAUAUUGGACAAUGGGCGAAAGCCUGAUCCAGCCAUGCCGCGUGUGUGAAGAAGGUCUUCGGAUUGUAAAGCACUUUAAGUUGGGAGGAAGGGCAGUAAGUUAAUACCUUGCUGUUUUGACGUUACCAACAGAAUAAGCACCGGCUAACUUCGUG